GACGAACGCUGGCGGCGUGCUUAACACAUGCCAGUCGAACGGAAAGGCCCUGCUUUUGUGGGGUGCUCGAGUGGCGAACGGGUGAGUAACACGUGAGUAACCUGCCCUUGACUUUGGGAUAACUUCAGGAAACUGGGGCUAAUACCGGAUAGGAGCUCCUGCUGCAUGGUGGGGGUUGGAAAGUUUCGGCGGUUGGGGAUGGACUCGCGGCUUAUCAGCUUGUUGGUGGGGUAGUUGCUUACCAAGGCUUUGACGGGUAGCCGGCCUGAGAGGGUGACCGGCCACAUUGGGACUGAGAUACGGCCCAGACUCCUACGGGAGGCAGCAGUGGGAAAUAUUGCACAAUGGGCGGAAGCCUGAUGCAGCAACGCCGCGUGCGGGAUGACGGCCUUCGGGUUGUAAACCGCUUUCGCCUGUGACGAAGCGUGAGUGACGGUAAUGGGUAAAGAAGCACCGGCUAACUACGUG
rnacentral:rRNA from 1 species